rnacentral:lncRNA from 1 species
UUAAAAUCUUUCUUCAAGCCUCUUCAGCUGUUUUGAGUUCUACAUUUGUUUUAGGCAUUUCUGGCUUCCAGUUUCCAGGGAGAAGAUGAAGACACCAAUUCCACUUCAAGUCACUAAAGGGGAAAAAAAGUCUCUGGGAAGAUGAUAUGUUGAAGAUUGCCAGCUCCUCUCUAAUGAGAGAAUCUCAUACUAAAAAACUGCAACUCAGCUUACUCUAAACUCAUGUGAGACUAAAAGUAUUUUUAGAAAAUAAACUAUUUUGUGAGCAGAAUAAGGAGAAUGAUUUAUACAUUAAAAGAAAUAUUAUAAAAAUGAACCACUUUGAAAUAUUCAAAUACUCUGAUUAAUCCAAUAACCAGCUAUGGUUUCAGAGGAUGGAUGAUGAAUUAAGUGACUCAUCUUCUGACAGAGAAAUGUUGGACUAAAUAGGAGAAUGAGACACACAUUUUUGGACAUGAGCAAUAUGGGAAUUUAUUUUGCAUGUCUUUUACACAUUUGCCACACAGAUUUUGUUUUCCUUUUCUUUUUGGGAGGUAGAGGGGCAAGGUAGAAGAGAGAAAAGUGCAUCCUAUUAGUUGAAAAAGAAUUCAUUUAAAAAGAAAAAGUUGAUUAUUUUAGAUUUAGAAACAGAGAAAGAAGACAAUUUAGUGAGAGGACUUUAAGAUUGAUGACUGCCACAGAUCAAUAAAUAUGUCUUCAGGAAACAUUAUAAAUCAGAAUACCAAUGAAUUAAUGUACAAUUAAAGGCAUAUAUAUUUCCUAUGACUGUAAUACUUGUUUUUGUCCACUCUCCAAGGUACCUGUUUCUUGAUAACAAGGCACUGAAGAAUUCCACUGGUAAUCAGAAGAGAGCUUGGCCACACUCUAAAAGUCAUCCACUUCAUCCUGGACCAUCACUACUCAUCUUGACUUUUUUCUUGCCAAUGGACUUUGUUUGAUGCCUUUGGAAGAUUAAAGCUGAAUAUUUUGUGCAAUCCUGCCUCACUUAAAUCCAAUUCCCAUACAAGUCAAGACAUCAGGGCAUGGUAUCAUUGGACCUCUUUGAAAAAUGAAAGACGGACUUCCGGUCAAGAUGGCGGCUUAGAGGCAGCAAAAGUUCAGGCCUCUGAAAACCUUUCCUUACCGAUCACAAACUGAAUGCUCCUAGGGCACCGAAAUUCAAACUGAACAACAGGACAGACCCGGGGAACCCUCCUCCUGGACUUGGAUCAAAAGGUAUGCCCCCCAAAAGCCAGAAUCCUAGAUCACUCGGAUCUAAGGGGAAGGCAGAAGGAAGGUCCUAGGACCCAUCCCCCCCAACCCAGAGCGCGGCAGCAGUGGGAACCUCAGGGCCCGCAAAAGAGCCUCAGGGCCGGCUAUUCUGAAGGGCGCAUCUUGAAAGCAACCUGAGCCAGCCUCAGGGGAGCCCAACACAGAUGUCAGGGAGACAGAGAGAGACGGGGGAAGCCUGUAGCCCCCUGGCUGGGUCCUUCCAUCUGAGUCUCACGGGGGUUUCCAGCUUCAGGGCACCAGCUGAACCUAAUCCCUUCAGGAGCCCUCAGAGCUUCUGAAAGGACAGAAACCUCAGGGCCGGCAAAGGGGUUGUUCCAAAGGUCGAAGGGCUUACCUUGAAAGUAACCUGGGCCAGUCUCAGGGCAUCCAACACAGACUGCAGAGAAGGUUUUUUUGCUUUGGGGCUCAUCCAGCCCAAAUCAGCUGAACUUAAUCCCAUCAGAAGCCCUCAGAACUCAGGGAGGCCAGGACCCCUCCCCCCUUAGAGUGUAGGGUCUUCUGAAAGAACAGAAACCUCAGGGCCAGCAAAGGCACUGAGGUACCUUGCGGACAGUGCUGUACCAGGCUCAGAGCAUGGAAGUAAGGCAGCGGAGAAGCAACUGGAGGGAACUGAGAGCAGUAACACCCGAAAUGCCGGCAGGCAGGGGAGGGCAGACCCUGGGCAUC